GACGGGCUCGUUCAAUGGUUAGGACGUCGCACUUUUGAAGGCGAUCACGUCGGUUCGAUUCCGUCACCCGUCUCCA
rnacentral:tRNA from 1 species